UCCUGCAUCGAAAGUGGCGUCGGCGCGCCCGUCGCCUUCGCCAUCGAUAGUGCAGGGAGAGGAAGCGGCUGCCGGCCUUUCCCGUGUCUGCAGGACUGGCUCUUCCUGUCGGACCCUGGCGCCGGCGCACA